rnacentral:lncRNA from 1 species
CUGGGCCUGUUCUCCUGUUGAAGUCUGGGAGUUCUGUAGCCCCAAGAGACAUCUGUUACUAGAGGGAGGGAGUGAAAUGGAGAUGGACAGUAGGAGGGGGUUGCAACACCUAUUACCAAUGGUGGGAGGGGUAAUCACAGCCGGGAGCCUCUGGGCCCCACAAGGAGUCUCCACCACUCCCCCCAGCUCCUCUUCUGUCGCUGCCCCUCAGAUUCAAUUACCA